UACAGAGGGUGCAAGCGUUGUUCGGAAUUAUUGGGCGUAAAGGGCGCGUAGGCGGUGCGGUAAGUCUGCGGUGAAAUCUCCCGGCUCAACUGGGAGGCUGCCGUGGAAACUGCCGUGCUUGAGUGUGGGAGAGGUGAGUGGAAUUCCCGGUGUAGCGGUGAAAUGCGUAGAUAUCGAGAGGAACACCUGCGGCGAAGGCGGGUUGCUGGGCUGACACUGACGCUGAGGCGCGAAAGCUAGGGGAGCGAACGGG
rnacentral:rRNA from 1 species